CUUCCUCAAUCUGCUGCGGACAGAUAAAAUGGAUAUGUGCAUCAAUCCCGCCGGCCGUCAGAAUUUUGCCUUCACCCGCGAUAAUCUCCGUACCUGGCCCGAUGAUAAUAUCAACACCCGGCUGCACAUCUGGGUUUCCGGCCUUGCCGAUUUUCGAUAUCCGUCCGGCUACAAUCGCAACAUCGGCCUUCACAAUGCCCCAAUGGUCGAUAAUCAGCACGUUGGUGAUAACCGUAUCAGCCGCGCCAUCGGCAUUACAAAUCUGCGACUGCCCCAUGCCAUCACGAAU
rnacentral:sRNA from 1 species